rnacentral:rRNA from 1 species
AUUGAACGCUGGCGGCAGGCCUAACACAUGCAAGUCGGACGGUAGCACAGAGGAGCUUGCUCCUCGGGUGACGAGUGGCGGACGGGUGAGUAAUGUCUGGGGAUCUGCCCGAUAGAGGGGGAUAACCACUGGAAACGGUGGCUAAUACCGCAUAACGUCGCAAGACGAAAGAGGGGGACCUUCGGGCCUCUCACUAUCGGAUGAACCCAGUUGGGCUUAGCUAGUAGGCGGGGUAACGGCCCACCUAGGCGACGAUCCCUAGCUGGACUGAGAGGCUGACCCGCCACACUGGAACUGACACACGUUCCAGAAUCCUACGGGGUGCAGCAGUGGGCAAUAUUGCACAAUGGGCGCAAGCCUGAUGCAGCCGUGCCGCGUGUAUGAAGAAGGCCUGCGGGUUGUAAAGUACUUUCAGCGGGGAAGAAGGCGAUGUGGUUAAUAACCGCGUCGAUUGACGUUACCCGCAGAAGAAGCACCGGCUAACUCCGUGCCAGCCGCCGCGGUAA